UGGGGAAUAUUGCACAAUGGGCGCAAGCCUGAUGCAGCCAUGCCGCGUGUAUGAAGAAGGCCUUCGGGUUGUAAAGUACUUUCAGUCGGGAGGAAGGUGGUAAGGUUAAUAACCUUAUCAAUUGACGUUACCGACAGAAGAAGCACCGGCUAACUCCGUGCCAGCAGCCGCGGUAAUACGGAGGGUGCAAGCGUUAAUCGGAAUUACUGGGCGUAAAGCGCACGCAGGCGGUUGAUUGAGUCAGAUGUGAAAUCCCCGGGCUUAACCCGGGAAUUGCAUCUGAUACUGGUCAGCUAGAGUCUUGUAGAGGGGGGUAGAAUUCCAUGUGUAGCGGUGAAAUGCGUCGAGAUGUGGAGGAAUACCGGUGGCGAAGGCGGCCCCCUGGACAAAGACUGACGCUCAGGUGCGAAAGCGUGGGGAGCAAACAGG
rnacentral:rRNA from 1 species